GUAGGGCGCGAGCGUUAUCCGGAAUUAUUGGGCGUAAAGAGCUCGUAGGCGGUUUGUCGCGUCUGCCGUGAAAGUCCGGGGCUUAACCCCGGAUCUGCGGUGGGUACGGGCAGACUGGAGUGCAGUAGGGGAGACUGGAAUUCCUGGUGUAGCGGUGAAAUGCGCAGAUAUCAGGAGGAACACCGAUGGCGAAGGCAGGUCUCUGGGCUGUUACUGACGCUGAGGAGCGAAAGCAUGGGGAGCGAACAGGAUUAGAUACCCUGGUAGUCCAUGCCGUAAACGUUGGGCACUAGGUGUGGGGGCCAUUCCACGGUUUCCGCGCCGCAGCUAACGCAUUAAGUGCCCCGCCUGGGGAGUACGGCCGCAAGGCUAAAACUCAAAGGAAUUGACGGGGGCCCGCACAAGCGGCGGAGCAUGCGGAUUAAUUCGAUGCAACGCGAAGAACCUUACCAAGGCUUGACAUGUUCCCGACCGGGCCAGAGAUGGUCCUUCCCCUUUGGGGCGGGUCACAGGUGGUGCAUGGUUGUCGUCAGCUCGUGUCGUGAGAUGUUGGGUUAAGUCCCGCAACGAGCGCAAACCUCGUUCCAUGUUGC
rnacentral:rRNA from 1 species